rnacentral:rRNA from 1 species
CACGCCGUAAACGAUGUCAACUAGCCGUUGGGAGCCUUGAGCUCUUAGUGGCGCAGCUAACGCAUUAAGUUGACCGCCUGGGGAGUACGGCCGCAAGGUUAAAACUCAAAUGAAUUGACGGGGGCCCGCACAAGCGGUGGAGUAUGUGGUUUAAUUCGACGCAACGCGAAGAACCUUACCAAGGCUUGACAUUGAGUGAAAGAUCUAGAGAUAGAUUCCUCUCUUCGGAGACACGAAAACAGGUGG